UCUUCCCUUCCCGUGGAACCAUCAUUAAUUAAUGGAGGAUGUUGGUAAUGAUAUCAUUUAUAGAAAUGCUUAGAGUCAUCCACAACAAAUUACUAAAUGGAACUCUAAAUUUUGUACCAUCUAACACUAAAAUUAUCAAGAAUUAUGAUACACAACUCAUUAAAUGGCAAAAACAAGUGCUUAAAUGGUCCCAACAACGUGAGUAGUAACUUUGGAUGGUUCGCAACUAGUUUGUCUGACAUUAGUUUCUUCACUUAAAGACUUGGGAUUAGUUAUGGUAGAUACGCCCAAGAAAUGUUGUUCAGAAAACUCAUAAAACUACAUAAUUAGCUUUUACACUAAAUCUUUACGGUGG
rnacentral:lncRNA from 1 species